GAAUGCGCGCGCGACCGAAAGACCGCGGGAUGGGGAAUAGGGCCGAGGCCGUGCGCGGUGCCGAUCAUCGACGGGGACAGCCGAGUGGCGGCGGGCAGCGACGAGGGAGGAUGGAAAGGGCGGAGACUGAGCGGAAAGAGACGAAGCUGAGCCGAUGUCGAGCGAUGGUGGCCGAAAACUGACGGAAGAAUCCGAAGGCCCAAGGGAGGGUUCGAGGGCCGCUCGGCGCGUAGACCCAGUCGGGGAGCCGAGGCUGAGGACCCAGCGGUGGGACGGAAUGGGAGGGAGCGGGCCGCGCCGAGAGCGGCGGUAGGCCCGGACACGGGGACACCGAGGACGGCGGGACACGGAGGACGGCGGGACACCGAGGACGGAGUGGCUGUUGUGAAGCCCAACGUCCACAGGAUGGAAAGUACGGUGUUACUGUACCCUGAUACAUGCCCCCCGUGCUGCGCAGGGAAGUGUCCCUGAGGCCACGGCCAAGCCCCUCGUGGCACCCUGGCACCCGGAGAACCUUGCAGACCACAGAGACAAGGCUGGAUCGCAGCUGCCCGAGCCUGGGGGUCGGGAGGGCACACAGGGUCCCAGCACAGCAAGAAAGGCAGGCUUUGGGGGGGCUGCUCAGAAGCACGUGCUCAGCUGCCCCUGCAGAGACCGGCCGCCCGUCCACCUGUCUCGUUCGGGUCACGUCCGGGGCUUCCUGCUCCCGGGGGGGGGGGGGGGGCAGCUGCAGGCCAGAAAAGACUGCACUCUUGGCUGAAGCAGCAAAGUACACGACCGUGCACCCAGCUUGACGUCUGGCCCCCUUUGUUGUAGUGUGGUCUGUACAGCAAGGGUUCCAGGAAGCUGACGAGGAUGCUAGAAAAUCCUGAGAGGAUAGAUUGGGCCAGGUGUCCCACAGGUGAAAGGCAGGGGAGGAUCACGGCCCUGUCCCCAGCACUCACCCCCACAUGUCAACUGUUUCUUCUCCCGCCAGUCACACGAUGACCACGUACCAACCACUUUACCCUUUUCUCACAUCCUGCCACUAACCAGGGUCCCGGGUCCCGCAUCCCCUGUGCUCAGGAGACCCUGGGGAGGGGGGGGUCCCACCUUAUCCCCUCCUAGAACAUACCCCGUCCACUGGCUGAGGCACAGAUACCGUGACCGCCGCCCUCAGUGUCCAGGACCGCGCAGACGCAGCAGGGAUUCACAGGAGGUAAGGGAAGUGCCUGCUUACUCUCCCACCCCUGCGUGGUCUGUUGACUGUGGGCUGCAGACACCCACCUUCUCAGGGGACGCUGUGGCACAGAGCAGGACACAGGUUAAUUAAUCGCAGAGUUUGUUAUUUCUUCUAAA